rnacentral:rRNA from 1 species
GACGAACGCUGGCGGCGUGCUUAACACAUGCAAGUCGAACGGAAAGGCCCUGCUUUUGUGGGGUGCUCGAGUGGCGAACGGGUGAGUAACACGUGAGUAACCUGCCCUUGACUUUGGGAUAACUUCAGGAAACUGGGGCUAAUACCGGAUAGGAGCUCCUGCUGCAUGGUGGGGGUUGGAAAGUUUCGGCGGUUGGGGGUGGACUCGCGGCUUAUCAGCUUGUUGGUGGGGUAGUGGCUUACCAAGGCUUUGACGGGUAGCCGGCCUGAGAGGGUGACCGGCCACAUUGGGACUGAGGUACGGCCCAGACUCCUACGGGAGGCAGCAGUGGGGAAUAUUGCACAAUGGGCGGAAGCCUGAUGCAGCAACGCCGCGUGCGGGAUGACGGCCUUCGGGUCGUAAACCGCUUUCGCCUGUGACGAAGCGUGAGUGACGGUAAUGGGUAAAGAAGCACCGGCUAACUACGUG